CGUAGAAGAUGAUGAGGAAGUUAUCCCUGUCUGAAUAUGAUGACGAGGACUCUGAUUCUACA
rnacentral:snoRNA from 1 species